rnacentral:piRNA from 1 species
UGACCACAUAAUAGGUCACAAAACAGGCC